rnacentral:rRNA from 1 species
UACGUAGGGUCCGAGCGUUGUCCGGAAUUAUUGGGCGUAAAGGGCUCGUAGGCGGUUUGUCGCGUCGGGGAGUGAAAACACGGGGCUUAACCCCGUGCCUGCUUCCGAUACGGGCAGACUAGAGGUAUGCAGGGGAGAACGGAAUUCCUGGUGUAGCGGUGAAAUGCGCAGAUAUCAGGAGGAACACCGGUGGCGAAGGCGGUCUCUGGGCAUUACCUGACGCUGAGGAGCGAAAGUGUGGGGAGCGAACAGG